rnacentral:misc_RNA from 1 species
AAGUCGUAACAAGGUCUCCGUAGGUGAACCUGCGGAGGGAUCAUUACCGAGUGAGGGCCCUCGCGCCCGACCUCCCAACCCUUUGUUGUACCCAACCGUUGCCUCGGGGGGCGACCCGGCCUUCGCGCCGGGCGGCCCUCCGAGGUCCAUUGACAACCUGCAUUUUGACGUCGGAGUAUUGAAAACAAUCAAUCAAAACUUUCAACAACGGAUCUCUUGGUUCUG